GCACUUGCGACUUCCAAGGGUAUUUCGUGUUGCCAAGAGACUGGAAGUUGACUAUGCACCUGCCAUGGUUGGUUUUGAAUUCAAAAGUGGUCGAUCUGUUCCUGUCUUUGAGGGAAUUGUGGUGUGUGCUGAGUUCAAGGAUGCCAUAUUAGAGGCUUAUGCUGAAGAAGAAGAAAGAAGAGAAACUGAAGAAAAGAAAAUACACGAAGCACAAGCUAUUUCUAGGUGGUAUCAACUUCUUUCGUCCAUCGUAACUCGACAAAGGUUAAAAAACUGUUAUGGGAACAGUUCGUUACAAAUGUCAGGCAACAUCAAAGAUACAAAUUACAAAUCAGAUGUACAUGACAGUAGUCAACCUCAUAAGCAUCCCAGGGGAUACCAGAAAGAAGACAAGCAGAAUCCUGAAUCAGGAGCUCCUCCAGUAGUUCAAACAGAAGAUCAUGAGCAUGUAUUUUUGGCAGAAGAUCAGAGUUUUGAUGAGGAGAGUUCAGUGAGGACGAAGCGGUGUCAUUGUGGAUUUUCAGUCCAAGUGGAGGAGUUAUAGCACUACUAAUGCAAGAUCUAUCACAUGAUGGUUCCUGAACAAACCAGUUUCCAGAUCAAAUCUUUCAAUUUUGUCAGGAAGUGAAGCCCAUUGUAUUCUUCAAUCUGGUCGUGUAAUAUUGUGUAGCUCACUGCUCUAAUUUACUUCCUUUUUGGUCUAUGUAUAAUUUGCGCUAUUAGUCAAGCCUGAAUAUUUUCCAAGAUGAGAAAAUGUGAUGGCUAUAUGUCAUUUUCCAGGAAAAUACCGAUGCACUGUAUCUCAUAUCGUGAACUGGGUUCGUGCUGCCCGUUUAAGGGGAAGUCUGCAAUUAUUUGUUCAACUUGUAGAUGUAUAAUUAUUCUCUGAACUUUCAAGG
rnacentral:misc_RNA from 1 species